rnacentral:pre_miRNA from 1 species
UUUAAUGUUUUGAUUAUUCGUCUUAUUUAAAAAUUUUUAUGAUUAAUAUUUUUAUUCUUACUAGAUGAUAAAACAUGAGUAGUAUUUUAUGCGUGACUAAUUUUUUUAAGUUUUUAUAUAAAAUUUUCAAAUAAAACGAAUGAUCAAUCGUUGGACAUGGAAAAAC